CGCUCAUUAUUCUGGGUUGUAAUUCGGGUCACGUGCAGUGCUCCAUUUCAUCUGAUGACCCACCCUUUGCUCUCCUUUUUUUGAAACCCUAAUUUUUCCUCUUCCCACAAUUGAAUGCCACCACAAACUUGGUUCAAUUGAUUAUCUUGAAGGUUAGUUAACGCUUUUGAUUUUUGGCAUUCUAAAAAUUUCGUUAUCUCUCAAUCGUUGUCAUCUAAUCUGUUAAAAAGGAUAUGGACUUUCGAUGGAUUCCAAUACGAUCUAGGUAUAAUCGAACCAUGCUUGAUGUUAUGUCCUAUUCUCUUUGACGAUGGCGAUGAUGUUAAUCCCUUUGCUCAUGAAAGGUGUUGGGGCUACCGCCCCGAAUAUGUCUAAUACAGCCGAAAUCUGAUCUAGCCACUCCAUUAUCAUGUAAAUCCAUCUUCCUUUAACCUUUUUCGUGUAAGACGGGAAAUACAUAUGAGACUAUCAGCUGGUAAGUUAUUGCUAGAAAUAUUUUAAUAGGAUUUGUGAUGGCUUUACAUUUAA